rnacentral:rRNA from 1 species
AUACUUAAGUAGUAAUAGAUAUAGGCUUGAAACUUAAAGAAUUUGGCGGUAUUUUAAUCUUUUCAGAGGAACCUGUUCUAUAAUCGAUAUUCCACGUUUAAUUUUACUAAAGUAUUUGUAUACCGUUGUCGAAAGAAUAAAUUUUCUAAAAUUAAAAUUUUAAUUAAUGUCAAAUCAAGGUGCAGUUUAUAAUUUAGUAGAAAUGGGUUACAAUAAAAGUAUUUAGAAUUUUAAUAAAGGUGGAUU